rnacentral:rRNA from 1 species
GAUGAACGUUGGCGGCGUGCCUAAUACAUGCAAGUCGAACGGAGAUUGUAGCAAUACGGUCUCAGUGGCGAACGGGUGAGUAACGCGUUGGUGACCUGCCCCGAAGUGUGGAAUAACAGAUCGAAAGAGCUGCUAAUACCGCAUAAUAUCCAGGAGAUUAGAUGCUUCUGGAUUAAAGGAUUUAUCCGCUUCGGGAGGGGCCUGCGUCCCAUCAGCUAGUUGGUAAGGUAAAGGCUUACCAAGGCGAUGACGGGUAGGGGACCUGAGAGGGUGGCCCCCCACAAUGGAACUGAAACACGGUCCAUACACCUACGGGUGGCAGCAGUAGGGAAUAUUAGUAAUGGGCGAAAGCCUGAACUAGCAACGCCGCGUGUGCGAAGAAGGCCUUCGGGUUGUAAAGCACUUUUAUAUGUGAGCAGUGCUUUCUAUGUGAACAGCAUGGGGAGAGAGAUAUUAGCAUAUGAAUAAGCAACGGCUAACUCCGUGCCAGC